UAGAUACCCUGGUAGUCCACGCCGUAAACGGUGGGCACUAGGUGUGGGGACCAUUCCACGGUCUCUGCGCCGCAGCUAACGCAUUAAGUGCCCCGCCUGGGGAGUACGGCCGCAAGGCUAAAACUCAAAGGAAUUGACGGGGGCCCGCACAAGCGGCGGAGCAUGCGGCUUAAUUCGAAGCAACGCGAAGAACCUUACCUAGGCUUGACAUGCAGGGAAAACUGGCAGAGAUGUCAGGUCCUUCGGGGCC
rnacentral:rRNA from 1 species